UGUAAUUACCGCAUCCGUUACAUAGCUGCCGUGAGUUUCGAAUUUCACUUGUGCUAGUUGACAUUGUGGUUAAUUGAUUUCCGAAACUACGAAACAUAAAAAAAAUCAAAAAUAAAUCAGAACAUACAACAAUUACAGCACCAGUUACACACAAAUAAAACAGAAAUUAAAUUCCCAGGGUGUCAAAGUGUCCAAUUCCCAGGGUUGGAGGAAAAUAAAAUAGAAACAUGAGAAAUGCUCUCUCGAGAUUGGUUGCUCAUGUUGCUAAGCAAGCAUGGUAUCUGUUGCCCAUAAUGAUUCAUGUACUAAAGCAAUAUUCGUCCAUUCAAAUAUAACUACAUCAAGUUCCUACAAUAAUAAGAAACUAUCAUCAAAUUUUCAAUUCCUUGCUUCCACCAUUUAUUUAGCAUUUUAAUCAAACUCAAAAAAGCCAAUCAAUUCAGGCAUACAUCAAAAACAUACCAGUCUAAACAUUUUUAACUGGUAAAAAAUUAUUAAAAAAUAGAAGAAGCAAGAGUAAGUCAAACAAAAAAUCACUAUGUUCAUAACCAAACACCAAGCAACCCUCUGUUUCACCCCUGAAGAAACAGAACACCACCUCCCCAGAAGAAAUGACCAAAACAGGCAUAACACAGAUAAUUAAGGAUCUAAGCACAGUAGCAACAAAGCACAACCGAUAUUCAUCAUUCCAAACAUCCAAAUCCAAACCAAAGGAAUCAAGUACAGAGGCCUUGCAACUAACAAUAAAAUUCUUUUCCGAAGAUAGCAAGCGAAAUAUGUAAAAUCUGUCCAAUUUAAUUUUUGUAAUUUACAAAAUCUUAUAGCAAUCACACCCACAAUAUCCGACUCGAUAACUAAUUCAAUUAACCAAAAAUAAUUAAAUAAAUAAAGCUACCGCUACCACAAGAAGCCAGCAUAAAAACCACCCAUCAGAUGAUGAUACAUGCAUCAAACACAAUAACGAAAAUUGAACGAGAGCAAGAGAACGAACCAUCGAACAAGAGUUGAGUUCAGAUCUGAAUGACUUAAGUGACGAAUCUGCCUGAAGAAAAAGAGUGCUGCUAACUGGAAAGAGAAAUGGAAAGUGAAAGCAAAAUGUUUACCUUGCUUUACGGGAAAG
rnacentral:lncRNA from 1 species